rnacentral:rRNA from 1 species
AAUAGAUACCCUGGUAGUCCACGCCGUAAACGAUGAAUGCUAGGUGUUAGGGGUUUCGAUACCCUUGGUGCCGAAGUUAACACAUUAAGCAUUCCGCCUGGGGAGUACGGUCGCAAGACUGAAACUCAAAGGAAUUGACGGGGACUCGCACAAGCAGUGGAGUAUGUGGUUUAAUUCGAAGCAACGCGAAGAACCUUACCAGGUCUUGACAUCCCACUGAAUCCUCUAGAGAUAGAGGCGGCCUUCGGGACAGAGGAGACAGGUGGUGCAUGGUUGUCGUCAGCUCGUGUCGUGAGAUGUUGGGUUAAGUCCCGCAACGAGCGCAACCCUUGAUUUUAGUUGCCAGCACUUCGGGUGGGCACUCUAGAAUGACUGCCGGUGACAAACCGGAGGAAGGCGGGGAUGAUGUCAAAUCAUCAUGCCCCUUAUGACCUGGGCUACACACGUACUACAAUGGCCAGUACAACGGGAAGCGAAGUCGCGAGAUGGAGCCAAUCCUAUCAAAGCUGGUCUCAGUUCGGAUUGC